AGCACGUCUGGAUCUCAGCACGUGCAGAGGGACACAGGGAGAUCCCACAGAGCCCUCCCUCCCUGUCAGGACAAAGCACCUGCCUCCUAUGGAAGCUGAGCAUCCCUGAACAGCCACCAAAGGUCCAGUCCAGGAGCUGGGACAUGCCCAUGACUGAGCUUUGGUUCAACAACAGAGACAUAAGUGGCAGCUGAAGUGUCUGGUGAAGCUCCUGACAGAUUCCCAAGGGCUGAGAGGCACAAAAAUGAA